rnacentral:tRNA from 1 species
GUUGUCGUUGCCGAGUGGUUAAGGCGAUGUACUACAUAUCUUUUGGGAUCUUCCCGCGCAGGUUCGAAUCCUGCCGACAUCG